rnacentral:rRNA from 1 species
ACGCUCGACACCUACGGGAGCAGCAGUGGGGAAUAUUGCACAAUGGGGGAAACCCUGAUGCAGCGACGCCGCGUGAGCGAAGAAGUAUUUCGGUAUGUAAAGCUCUAUCAGCAGGGAAGAAAAUGACGGUACCUGACUAAGAAGCCCCGGCUAACUACGUGCCAGAAGCCGCGGUAAUCUGAGCGGGCUGGCAAGGC